UAUUAAAAAUUUCACUCAUUUAUACUGUUAAAAAUUGGCGUGAUUGACAAAAUAAUCAAACAAUUACACGUGGUAUGCUAUUUGUACCUUAUGUUGACGUACAUGGACAAAUUUUUUACAGUAAAAUGGAUGGAAUUUUUAACA
rfam:Gossypium arboreum cultivar AKA8401 contig_155_1, whole genome shotgun sequence.